rnacentral:lncRNA from 1 species
CCGGGCCAACUGGAGCCACGACAGGCUCCUCCAAGUCUCCCCUCACCUAAUAGCUGCACCUGGAUGCGAAUUGGAAGCUCGAAUUCCCAGCCGCGUCCAGGCUCCCCCCCCCCUCCAGCUUUCCACCUAAGUCGAACGAUCGACGGGUCCCCGACCCUGGCGCUGGGUAGCGACGUGCAGGACUCACCGCGGGUGAGGCGCGGACUCCGGCCAGGGCUCCGGGCUGGGCCAGCAUUCCUUCUUGCUAGGGUUUCAGCAGAUACCCAGAAGUCCAAGCCUUGGAAACUCAAACCCUAAAUUCAUGCUGCUAUUUGAAAUGAGGGAUGAGCACUGAAACAGAACAGGAAUGGAACAAACUUCAACUAGCUCCUGGGUGACUGGCUGACUACAGAGCAUUAUGGGUUCACACCAGACACCCUGAAGGCAGUACAAAUUAAUGGUGAAAAAUCCCAGGAGUUAAGGACUAUUGCAGAGUGUGGAAAGAUUUGAGGAAGGGCUGUAAAGGACCUAACACUUUAACCCUAUUUGCAUGUGACUGAGUCUAGGCUCCCG